rnacentral:lncRNA from 1 species
UGGAGUAACAGGCUCAUGUAACAGGCUGCAGUUCCUCUAACAGGCUCAGCAGACUUCAGUUCUGACACACAGUUGCCAUCUGCUUGUCUCUAGGUGCUGUGAUGAGCUCCCAUCCCAGACGCCCACUGUGGCCCAGCCUCCUUGUUCCCAGUGCCCAGCUCCCAUACACAUAGCCCUCUCACACUCCAGCCGUCUUCUUAUGAUUUGUCUUCAGCAUCAUGUGGCUUCUAUGUGUUUAAGCUUGAGGCGCCGGAGAGCUUUCAAGGAAAGGGAAACAGUAACUUGCCCAGAAAUCACUCACUUCAUGGAAUAAGAGUAGUGAAUCGUCUCAGAAUCUUUAGUUACACUGUCUGGGAACCAGAGACAAGACUCCGCUGCCCUUCAAGCUCCGACAGAAACCAUCCAGAGCCAUUUUCUUAACCAGAUUUGAAAACAAACAAGCAGGCAAUGCCCAGAAGUGCCUACAUUUGCUGAGUUUAUAAAUUGUGAAUGAGUUGCGAAUGUUUUGCAUUGUCGUGAAAGAGGAAAAUCUAAAUUUUAAAUGUCUGCUCCUCAAAAAUAAACACUAGAAAG